rnacentral:rRNA from 1 species
UUAUACAGCGAAACGGCGAAAGGCUCAUUAUAUAAGUUAUCGUUUAUUUGAUAGGUACCCUUACUACUUGGAUAACCGUGGUAAUUCUAGAGCUAAUACAUGCUGAAAAUCCCGACUUCGGAAGGGAUGUAUUUAUUAGAUUAAAAACCAAUGCCCUCUGGGCUCUCUGGUGAUUCAUAAUAACUUCUCGAAUCGCAUGGCCUUGCGCCGGCGAUGGUUCAUUCAAAUUUCUUCCCUAUCAACUUUCGAUGUUUGGGUAGUGGCCAAACAUGGUUGCAACGGGUAACGGAGGGUUAGGGCUCGACCCCGGAGAAGGAGCCUGAGAAACGGCUACUACAUCCAAGGAAGGCAGCAGGCGCGCAAAUUACCCAAUCCCGAUUCGGGGAGGUAGUGACAAUAAAUACUGAUACAGGGCUCUUUUGGGUCUUGUAAUUGGAAUGAGUACAAUUUAAAUCCCUUAACGAGGAACAAUUGGAGGGCAAGUCUGGUGCCAGCAGCCGCGGUAAUUCCAGCUCCAAUAGCGUAUAUUAAAGUUGUUGUGGUUAAAAAGCUCGUAGUUGAACCUUGGGCCUGGCUGGCCGGUCCGCCUCACCGCGUGUACUGGUCCGGCCGGGUCUUUCCCUCUGUGGAACCCCAUGCCCUUCACUGGGUGUGGCGGGGAAACAGGACUUUUACUUUGAAAAAUUAGAGUGCUCCGGCAGGCCUAUGCUCGAAUACAUUAGCAUGGAAUAAUGAAAUAGGACGUGCGGUUCUAUUUUGUGGUUUCUAGGACCGCCGUAAUGAUUAAUAGGGACAGUCGGGGGCAUCAGUAUUCAAUUGUCAGAGGUGAAAUUCUUGGAUUUAUUGAAGACUAACUACUGCGAAAGCAUUUGCCAAGGAUGUUUUCAUUAAUCAGGAACGAAAGUUAGGGGAUCGAAGACGAUCAGAUACCGUCGUAGUCUUAACCAUAAACUAUGCCGACUAGGGAUCGGACGAUGUUAUUUUUUGACUCGUUCGGCACCUUACGAGAAAUCAAAGUGC